GAGCGGCAAGCAUGGAGGACCAUAACCUGGAGGAGUUCCGCCAGCGCUGGCAGGAGGAAUUGGCGCACUCGCAGGUGCUGAGGCGACGGCGGCGGCUCGAGGCUGGGGAGCGGCGGCCCCGGAGACCGGAGGCGGGAGCGCGCGGCGAGCCGGCCUCGGGGUACCUGGGGCUGGCGCAGGGUCUGCUGGAGGGCGCGGGCCGACCCCCGGCGCCCAGGCCCGGCCGGACCGACAGGAAGGAUGUGUCCAGCCGUUCGCGCUCACCCCCGGACCGCGACGCCGCGGAGCCCGAGCCGCUGGUGGACCAGCUCAUCCGCGACUUGAAUGAAAUGGAUGAUGUGCCCUUCUUUGAUGUCCAUCUGCCUUAUGAACUGGCGAUCAAUAUAUUUCAGUAUCUGAACAGAAGAGAGCUGGGGCUGUGUGCUCAGGUGAGCAAGACAUGGAAGGUGAUUGCCGAAGACGAGGUGCUGUGGUACCGGCUGUGCCGACAGGAGGGGCACCUUCCCCACAGCAGAUUCUCCGAUUACACCUGCUGGAAGCUCAUCUUGCAAGAGUGCCUCGCCAAAUCGCAAAGGUGCCGUGAGCGAGCUGGAACACGUUCCUGACGCUGUUUUGUGUGACGUGCGUUCUCACGAUGGAGUUGUCAUCGCAGGAUAGAUGCAGAUAAUGUGCAGGCUGUGUGCCAGAGAACAAGCCGGGGUCGAUGGCUUUGUGGGAUCCACCUCAGGGCUGCUGCCGUGAGGAAACCAGAAGUAAGGGAACCCUGGACACAGCUGGUAGUCACGGGCCUUUCCUCUAGCUUCUCUCUCAGCAUUACUCAGGAGCAUCAUGUGAAGGCCGGCCGGCAAGAUGGCUCAGAGUGCUGCCAUCACAGCUGACUAGCCCCAAGGUUGACCCUGGAGCCCACGCUUGUGAUAGGGAAAGGAGAACCAAUUUCUGCCAGCUCUGGGACCUCCAUAUGUGACAUGGCACCCCCAAAUGAAUGAGACAUUAAAGAAAAAGUUAAAGC
rnacentral:lncRNA from 1 species